CAGCCCAAUCCAUAUAGGGAACAAUUUUGUAAUUGCAGGUUGCAGUGAUUUGUUCUUCUGGCUUGGGGAGGAAGCGUACAGACAGCAGAGGGAGAAGAUGAUACACCGAAAAUGGAGUCUACUAACUGGUCCAGUGGCAAUCUUGGGCGGGAUCGUUGCAACGGUGGUCGUCGCCAACUUAAUCUUCGUUAAGGAUGUAAAGUUCUCUUCUCUUUUCCUUCGAUUUCCAAACCCUAGAUUUUAUAUUUGAGUUUUGGUAUCGGGGGAAUCGAAGGAUGUAUUUUCAUUUAAGAUUUCGAUUGAAAUUAUUCAUUGGAAUGAUUUGCAUUCGGUUUUAUUCGUCAUUCUUAUAUCUAAAUCGUAGGAGACAUCUAAACCUUUUGGCUAUUCGAUCGUGUCUCUGAUCGUAAUCGUAAAAAUUAGAUUUGUUUAACUUAGUUGUGAAUUAAGAAUAACACUUUUUGAAUGAUUGUGGGAGCUAUCAUUCUUUGUUAAAAUAAAGAGCGUCGCUCUCUGUUUAACUUCUGUUCAAAAAAUAUUAAAUGGAAAAACCUGUUCUGUCAUUCUUUAGAUGUUGUUAAUUAUUAGCUAGGUAGUUGAGUUUCUUUGCUGCAAUGAAAGCGCCAGUAGAGCCAGUAAGCAACGUGCACACCUGCUACACAUUUUUUACUUGAACUAAUUUCUUUAGCUGGAUUAUUUCAUAAACUGCUAGUUAUUCAAACCAAAGCUUUUUAUGCAGGGCGUAACCAUACACAUGCUAACACAUUGCGAUAUAUUUGAAAUUUGCAGGACCCAUUUCUUAAACCAAAGAAAAAGAACCAAGAUUCACCACCAUCAACCAAAUAGAACAGAAGCAAAGUGAAUUGCUUAAUGGAUGUGUUGUAAGCUUUUCAGGUGGUUUGUGUUUGUUGAUUAUUUUUCUAGCGAAACAAAUGUUUAAGCUGCAUUUUGGUACAAGGCUCUUCUUAGUUCAAUAAAGUGGAGUUCAUGAUCAAGUUUAGUAAUUUCUCUUCAUUAUGUUCACCAAAUUGCUGUUGUUAAAUCUUGAUUGAGCUACCAUGAGAGCAAGAAAAAGCAAAAUUCAGCUGUUUUUCCUUGUUCAGUAAUGAUAAUUUUUGGGGUAGAUUGCCGAGUAGGAAUACUAUGAAUUUCUGCGUCGUGUUAGCGUAUAUCCACUUUUAAUUCAUCAAGAAUGGUUAUUAAUAAUUGAUAUGGUAAAUUUUAUUCUCUUAAAAAGAAAAAUCUUAGUAUCUUCUGGGUAUAUGAUUCACUGGUAAACGUUAUUAUUAUUAUUAUGAUUGCCUUUCAAUCCUGAGAAAGACUCCAACCCCCCUUUUCAUAGGCUGGAUGUAGCUAUUUCCACUACUCCAUGAUAAGCUUGCGUUUGAAUUAACCUUCACUGCGACAGGUGAUGAGUUGUGACUACGGUUAGGUGUGAAAAAAUAUCUUUCAUUUGACCAUCAAUGCAUGUGAUUUACAUAAAGUUAACACGUAAUUUUUCUGUAUGUUUCAGGGGAAAAUAAUCUAAGGAGUAAUUUUUCCUGAAGAAAAAGGGAAAGAGGUAAAAAUAUGAUGUAUAAACAAUGGUACAAUGAAAUAAUAUGCCCCAAAGAAUCACAAUCUCUCCCUUCACAUAUGCGAACUGCCUGGUGAGACAUUGGCAGAUUGGUGACACUAGCAGCAACGCUCAUGUGAU
rnacentral:lncRNA from 1 species